CUGUGUUACAGUUUAAUGGAUGAUUAAUUACACUUGAUAGGCUGCAUAGUAAUUAGCAUAAUUUAUACACAUUAUAUAGUAUUAGCAGGACACUCUCGAUAUUAGCGGGAGUUGGCCUGGUAUUAGUAAUUAGCACCUAAUUACACUCUGAUAGUUUUCCUAAUAAUUAUUAUCAGUUGAGCCAUAGAUAGUAAAGGAAAGGGAUUGGAAACGCAUCACGUGCACCAAUGUUUUCAACAGAGUCUGGAUGGCACAAUCCUACUUACGAUUUUUAAUGUUAUUCAUUGCUAGUCAAAAGGUCAUUUGCUGUUUUUAAAGCUAUAUUUUUGGACCUCAAGAUCAUUUUUUCAGCGUUCAAGCCAAUCAAGAUGUGAAGCAAAAAGCUCGUAAGAAAAAAUUCAAGCCAUCCUCGACCUCAACCAGAUCCUACCCUCUCUCGACAAAACAAAAGCAUCUAGGAAGAUAUAAAUUCAACCAUAUAAGACACUUAGUAACCUCACCUGUCACCUCAUUAUUAAGUAUACAUAUAUACAUGUUUAUUUUUGCUUGUGUGUAUACACUGUAAUUUUGCAACCACUUACUUUAAACAUAAUAAAUUAUUAUUGACAUCCCUUAGAGUACAGUAUUACACUUAUAAUUAGUGUCAAGACUCACAAAGGGAGUUUAGUAAGAUAAUAAAUACAUUGUUGUCGUGUUUAUAAUAUUAUUAUGUAACUAAAAUAAUUAUGAUAGAUCUA